GGUCCGAUGCCACGUUGACGGUAGUGAAUCAUAAAAGGGCAAUGACUGGCGAUGCUAUGAUCGGACCAAUAUCGAAUUUCGUAUGCUGAUAGGAACCUGUGGAUCUGACUAUUUCCCAUUCAUCCACAGAGCCGAUUUCUGCGAUUACAAAU